ACCUGUUCACACAUCUGUACUGAUGUU
rnacentral:piRNA from 1 species